UACGUAGGGUGCAAGCGUUGUCCGGAAUUAUUGGGCGUAAAGAGCUCGUAGGCGGUCUGUCGCGUCGGCUGUGAAAACCCGGAGCUCAACUCCGGGCCUGCAGUCGAUACGGGCAGACUGGAGUGCGGCAGAGGAGACUGGAAUUCCUGGUGUAGCAGUGAAAUGCGUAGAUAUCAGGAGGAACACCAAUUGCGAAGGCAGCUCGCUGGGACGUUACUGACGCUGAGACGCGAAAGCGUGGGGAGCAAACAGG
rnacentral:rRNA from 1 species